UUUCCGUAGGUGAACCUGCGGAAGGAUCAUUACCGAGUUUAUUUUGGCGCAAGUCAAAAACUCCCACCCUUUGUUUAUUAUUGUCUUCUUCGGCGAGACGUUUUUCUUAGGAGAACCACUGGUUUGGGAACAAAUGAGUGAGUUGCUUGCCGAAGACCUUUAACUCUUAUUUUGUUUGUCUGAGUCUAAAGAAAAUAAAUUAAAACUUUCAACAACGGAUCUCUUGGUUCUGGCAUCGAUGAAGAACGCAGC
rnacentral:misc_RNA from 1 species